AAGUUGAACGGAGAUGUGUUCCCAUAGUAAGAGUGAGGCCCCUGCAUUUGCUGCCCUCGGUUUUCCCAACUAACACCAGGGCCUCCCCCCUGUACCCCAUUCAUAUGCCUCAGAAGCUGACAAUGACUGUUGGGCUUUUCCAAUGAAUACCAGAACACCAUUUCCUGCAGCCUGAAAAGAAGACAGUAUAAUUGUUUGGCAGCAAGAGAAUCCAGGUGCCCUUCCAUGAGAAGCCCAAGCCAUGUGGAGAAGCCACGUCUAGGGACUCCAGUUAACACUCUCAGCUGAGUCCCCAGCUGACAGUCAGCAUCAACUGCCAGCCACCUCUGUCUAAAAGUGGGCUAUCUUGGGCAUCCAGCCCAGUCAAGCCUUCAGAUGAGUCCAGUCCCAGCCACUAUCUCACACAACCACACGAGAGACAUCAAGAACUCCCAGUGGAGUCCAGUCAGCCCAUGGAACUGCAAGAGGGUGGAGCCAAGACUCUGAGGAGAGGGCUGAACUGUGAACCUAGAAGUACCAUCUCCCCCUGCACACACCUUUGGUCAAGUUGACCCCAAGAAGAAGGACAAGUCCUCUGCACGGCGAUGAGGCCAUACACACAGUCUGUGGCCCGGCUUUGGGAGACUGAUGGGACAAAGGAUGUUUUGCACGAUCCUUGGUCUCUGAGCAAAUAUAUACAUGGGUUAACACAAA
rnacentral:lncRNA from 1 species